UACGGGGGGAGCAAGCGUUGUUCGGAUUUACUGGGCGUAAAGGGCGCGUAGGCGGCCUUCUAAGUCGAACGUGAAAUCCCCGGGCUCAACCCGGGAACUGCGUCCGAUACUGGAAGGCUUGAAUCCGGGAGAGGGAUGCGGAAUUCCAGGUGUAGCGGUGAAAUGCGCAGAUAUCGGGAGGAACACCAAUGGCGAAGGCAGCUCGCUGGGACGGUACUGACGCUGAGACGCGAAAGCGUGGGGAGCAAACAGG
rnacentral:rRNA from 1 species